GUGGGGAAUAUUGCGCAAUGGGGGAAACCCUGACGCAGCGACGCCGCGUGAAGGAAGAAGGCCUUCGGGUUGUAAACUUCUUUGAUUGGGGACGAAGAAAGUGACGGUACCCAAGGAACAAGCCACGGCUAACUACGUGCCAGCAGCCGCGGUAAUACGUAGGUGGCGAGCGUUGUCCGGAAUUACUGGGUGUAAAGGGCGCGUAGGCGGGGGAGUAAGUCAGAUGUGAAAGCCCAUGGCUCAACUGUGGGACUGCAUCUGAAACUACUUUUCUUGAGUGCUGGAGAGGAAAGCGGAAUUCCUAGUGUAGCGGUGAAAUGCGUAGAUAUUAGGAGGAACACCAGUGGCGAAGGCGGCUUUCUGGACAGUAACUGACGCUGAGGCGCGAAAGCGUGGGUAGCAAACAGGAUUAGAAACCCUAGUAGUCC
rnacentral:rRNA from 1 species